rnacentral:rRNA from 1 species
UACAGAGGUCUCAAGCGUUGUUCGGAAUUACUGGGCGUAAAGGGUGCGCAGGCCGCGCGGGCAGUCAAAUGUGAAAUUCCGGGGCUCAACCUCGGAAUUGCGCUUGAUACUUCCGUGCUAGAACCUUGGAGAGGGAUCUGGAAUUCUCGGUGUAGCAGUGAAAUGCGUGGAUAUCGAGAAGAACACUAAGGGCGUAAGCAAGAUCCUGGACAAGUGUUGACGCUCAUGCACGAAGGCUAGGGUAGCGAACGGG